rnacentral:rRNA from 1 species
UACGUAUGGUGCAAGCGUUAUCCGGAUUUACUGGGUGUAAAGGGGGCGUAGACGGAGUGGCAAGUCUGAUGUGAAAACCCGGGGCUCAACCCCGGGACUGCAUUGGAAACUGUCAAUCUAGAGUACCGGAGAGGUAAGCGGAAUUCCUAGUGUAGCGGUGAAAUGCGUAGAUAUUAGGAGGAACACCAGUGGCGAAGGCGGCUUACUGGACGGUAACUGACGUUGAGGCUCGAAAGCGUGGGGAGCAAACAGG